rnacentral:rRNA from 1 species
ACAGAGGGUGCGAGCGUUAAUCGGAAUUACUGGGCGUAAAGCUCACGUAGGUGGCGACGUAAGUCGGGUGUGAAAGCCCCGGGCUUAACCUGGGAAUGGCGCUUGAAACUACGGGACUGGAGUAUGGCAGAGGGAGGUGGAAUUCCACGUGUAGCGGUGAAAUGCGUAGAGAUGUGGAGGAACACCGAUGGCGAAGGCAGCCUCCUGGGCCAAUACUGACGCUCAUGCACGAAAGCGUGGGGAGCAAACAGGA